rnacentral:rRNA from 1 species
UACGGAGGAGGCAAGCGUUAUCCGGAAUUAUUGGGCGUAAAGCGUCCGUAGGUGGUUCACCAAGUCUGCUGUCAAAGGGUGGGGCUUAACCUCAUAAAGGCAGUGGAAACUGGUGAGCUAGAGUGCGGUAGGGGUAAGGGGAAGUCCCAGUGUAGCGGUGAAAUGCGUAGAGAUUGGGAAGAACAUCGGUGGCGAAAGCGCCUUACUGGGCCUGCACUGACACUGAGGGACGAAAGCUAGGGGAGCGAAAGGG